CCCAACUAUCCCUAUUAAUCAUUACGUCAAUCCUAGAAACCAACAAAAUAGGAUCGAACGUCCUAUUUCAUUAUUCCAUGCUAAUGUAUUCAAGCGUUAGCUUGCUUUAAACACUCUAAUUUUUUCAAAGUAACAGUCCAAAUUCCCCGCAACACCAAAUUAAUGGCAUUACGGUUCAUCAGGAAGGAGGAAUCAGUGAGACCAGUACAUACCAGAGGCAUGACCAACCUACUAACCCCGAAAUUCAACUACGAGCUUUUUAACUGCAACAACUUUAAUAUACGCUAUUGGAGCUGGAAUUACCGCGGCUGCUGGCACCAGACUUGCCCUCCAA
rnacentral:misc_RNA from 1 species